UUUAGCUGUACUGACGCACUGACGGAGCGCCAACACGACCUGUCGAAAUGUGUUGCCUUUAACACAUAAACCGAUAAAAACACUCACAGAAUUUCGGCUUUCAGUAGGCUAUAGCCUACAAAGUUACGCUGGAACAUGCGUUUUGUGGAAUUAUUGACGGUCUGUGCCAUUCUACCGAUAUGUUUGGCUGGACAAAGUGACCCACAACGGCACUCGCUCUACUAUGUGUACACAGCCCUGUCAAAGGCUGUCAAUGCACCAGGCAUCUUUGAAUUCACUGCCAUGGGCCUACUGGACAACAGAAAGAUUGAUUACUAUGACAGCAAACACCAAGUCAAGAUUCCUCAACAGGACUGGAUGAAAGAAAGGCUUCCAGCGGACUACUGGGAAAAGGGCACCCAGUCACGUAAAAGCAAAGAGCAAUGGUUCAAAGUCAAUGUGAACAUUCUGAUGGAACGCAUGAGACAGAAUAACUCUGAUAUUCAUGUCCUUAUGUGGAAACAUGGCUGUGAGAUUGACAAAAUGGUAGAUGGUUCAUUCAAGUUUGUUCGCGGUGUUGAUGCAUACAGCUAUGAUGGCCAUGAUUUCCUUUCCUUUGAUGAUGCAUCAAUGCAAUGGGUUGCCCCAGUUACUGAAGCUGUGCCCACAAAACAGAAGUGGGAUGGGGUUCCCAUCCUCAAUCAGUACACCAAGGGCUACCUGGAGAAGGAGUGUGUGGAAUGGCUGGAAAGAUUCAGAGAAUAUGGGGACAAAGAAUUAGAACAACAAACAAGAGUUUCUCCACCAAAGGUUCGUCUUUUUGCUAAAGCAGCCGAGUCUUCAAAUACACUCAAGUUGACCUGCAUGGCCACAGGUUUCUACCCCAAAGAAAUCGACAUCACCAUCCUGAAAGGAAAUAAGGUUGUAAAGAAAGGUGAUUUAAGGGAUGUCUUGCCCAAUGGCGAUGGAACCCAUCAGAUCAAAUUGACUGUGGACACCCAAAGGUCUGACAUUGAUGAUUAUAGAUGUGAGGUGAACCACGUAGGCCUGGAGGAACCAAUUAUGAAAGUUUGGACCUUGGAUGGAGAAAUGUGUGGUGAUACCGCCUUAUUCUUCAUUCUUGGAGCGGUAGUGGGGGGACUGGUAGUGCCGACAAUCUUGGGGAUCUUGGCAUUCAUUGCUUAUAGAAGAGGCGUUUUUGGGAAACGGACGGUCAAAAAUCCGGACCUGGUGGAGGUUGCAACAGUGAUGGGUCACGUGAACACACCUUUGCUGCGCAAUGGACAAGUAAAUGGGUCCACUGGACAAGAUGACAAGGCAUCAACAGUGAUUGGGCUGGAAACCACACUGCAGGACGGAAAUGGAAAAUUGGAGGAAUACACUGAUUCUGAGGACGGUGGGGAGGACGGAGUUGAGCUGCUGUCUGAACAAGGCCUAUAACCUAUGCUACAACAAAGUUGUACUGUUCUUUCAGGUAGAGGAAGUCCUGAAGGAUCAACCAACAACCAACAGUGCUGAAAACAUGAACGGAUGAAGAUUAAGAAUGCACCCUUCAAGCUAUUGUCCAAAAUGUUCUUGAAUGAUCACAAGUUAUAAAAAAAACUUGAUUUGGGUAGAAUGCUUCUUUUUCACUUGUCCAUGAAGUUAGUUUACGAGUCAUUUCACUGUAGGCCUACUGUUGGUGCAGGUAUUGGGUAGCAUGGAUUUUGGAUUUACGAUUUGUUUGUGAAAGUAUGCAUUUAAAAUGUUUAAGAUGUGUGACAUUAUUCCUGGCUAGUUAUGUAACAGAGGUGGUUGUGAAUCAGAUUCACCUGCUUUGAUAUCAACGAAAUUUACUACAGGCGUACUAGAGGGCCAAUUCUAAAACGGAUAGUUCCGGUCCUUGAUUGUGAUUGGCUGAAUUGCGUUCGAUGCCGUUGUAAAUAUCAUGAUAAACUCACACCUUGACCGCAUUUCGGCCUAAUGCGUUAGCACAAAACUAGCAGUGGCUGCGUCUUGUUGUUGCAUGGCAACCAUUCAUAAGGAGGGAAUAUAUUUCUUGGCGGAAGAAAGAUCUAUGGAUACAUCGUUACAUUGUCGUUGCUGUGCCUUCGUUUCAUGAAAUCUUGCUAGAUCGACGUAGUAACCGUUUUAGAAAAGUAUGAGACGACCUCCAAAACAGGACAGAGUGGUCUGAGACAUUCACACCGGCUGGAGGUCAUUCUGUAGGGCUCUAGCAGGGCUCCUACUGUUCCGUCUUGCACAAAGGAGCAAAUCCAGGGGCCGGACAUAUUCAAUAUUUAUUUCAAUUCAAGAACUUCAGUUUUACACAUAUUGAAUCUGAAAGUGGCCUAAAACUAUGGCCUAUUUGCUGUUCUGUUAGGCCUGCCAAUAGGCCAAUAAAAAGCACUUUAUUUCUUAUGACUUUUACACUUGUUACAACUUUUCCAGAAAAUCCAUAGAUUUGUUUUGACAGGCCAACAAGACACUAAUUUUCUUCAAUGAAAAUCCAACUACUAACAGUCCAAGCAUUACCUGGAGGAAAGUCCAUAAAGUUAAUCUACCUGUGUGUAACGGAGUAAAAAGAGUUGGCUAGUUAAACUAUUAAAAAUGAUGCAACUGCGCCAUCUAGCGGCAAGUACAUUCGAUGUGACAGUGGGGUUUGCGUAAUCGCGUUGCUUUUACCCAGACUGAGAUUAAUAGAUAAUGGGUAGGCCUAAGUCAAGCAACUUGGGAGGUCCGGGAUAAACAAUGUUUUCUUGUAAUUUUAAGUACAUAUGCCUCGUAUUUUGUCAUGCAAUGUAGGCCUACUUAUUAUGAUUUCAGUUAACUAUUUUGAGUUUAGUUUUUGACCUAGCUUUUGUAAAGUGACGUUUUAGAGACUUGCAACAAAGCAUUUCUAUGUGAACUAGCGUGCUAAUGUUCACUUGCGUUGCAUGUUAUCCAGAUUGUUGUCCCGAGAUCUACUCUAUGUACAGCGAACCCAAAUCCACACUGUCAUAUUUUAUUGCAGUUAAUAUUUUGAAAUAUCCUUGUUUUUGUGUAAAUGGUUUUACCGUCAUGUUGUUUUAUAUGCGCAAUCUGCUUUAUACGUUUCCUAUAUUUAGAUAAGCAGCCUGUGCACGUUUAGCUAUCUUGCAGACCAGCGUGGUAGUCUGGAGAUUAGCCACAUGUGCUCGAGUGCUGCGUUUGCAACACUUGUGCUGAGUUAGUGAUGAUAUUCGUUCCUUAUUGUGUUAUUUCAAUAUAAUGUAAAAUGGAUCAAGUCAUUUCCCUAUUGUAAUGCUGAAAUGUAUUGUAUGCUAUGUGUAGAGAUUGUACUAAGCAGAUAUUCUAGAAAUUAACCACUAUACGAUCACACACAGAUUUAUUUUGUUUCACAUACAUACAAGUUAUGCAUUUAUGUUAUUGCAUUAUUCGACUGAUUAACAGUAUUACACAUUUGUAACUAGUACAAAUAUUUACCCAGACUGAGAUUAAUAGAUAAUGGAUUGUUGUCCCGAGAUCUACUCUAUGUACAGCGAACCCAAAUCCACACUGUCAUAUUUUAUUGCAGCAAUAAAGAAAAACCUGAUCCAA